rnacentral:lncRNA from 10 species
AGCCGGAGAGGUCGAGGCUGCAGUAAGCUGGGAUUGCGCCACUGCACUCCAGCUUUUCGAAACAGAGUCUCACUCUAUCACCCAGGCUGGAGUAGAGUGGCGCUGUCUCAGCUCACUACAACCUCUGCCUCCCACGUUCAAGCGAUUCUCUUGCCUCAACCUCCCAAGUAGCUGGGUCUACAGGCAUGCACCACCACACCCAGCUAAUUUUUGUAUUUUUAGUAGAGGCAGGGUUUUACCAUGUUGGCCAGGCUGGUCUCGAACUCUUGACCUCAAGUGCUCCGUCUGCCUCAGCCUCCCAAAGUGCUGGGAUUAUAGGUGUGAGCCACUGUGCCCAGCUCAUUU